CCUACGGGUGGCUGCAGUCGAGAAUCAUUCACAAUGGGGGAAACCCUGAUGGUGCGACGCCGCGUGAGGGAAUGAAGGUCUUCGGUUUGUAAACCCCUGUCAUGUGGGAGCAAAUUAAAAAGAUAGUACCACAUGAGGAAGAGACGGCUAACUCGGUGCCAGCAGCCGCGGUAAUACAGAGGUCUCAAGCGUUGUCCGGAAUCACUGGGCGUAAGGCGUGCGUAGGCUGUUUCGUAAGUCGUGUGUGAAAGGCGCGGGCUCAACCCGCGGACUGCACAUGAUACUGCGAGACUAGAGUAAUGGAGGGGGAAGCGGAAUUCUCGGUGUAGCAGUGAAAUGCGUAGAUAUCGAGAGGAACUCUGGUGGCGAAGGCGGGUUCCUGGACAUUAACUGACGUUGAGGCACGAAGGUGAGGGGAGCGAAAGGGAUUAGAUACCCGGGUAGUC
rnacentral:rRNA from 1 species